UUACGGUCCUCGAUGUAAACUACUGGGUUUAGCUCCUACCGUCCCUUCUCCGCUUCCUCCGAUUCCCCGAGAAAAAAAACACCGCCGCCUACCUCUGCUCGUCUCGCUCUCCCUCUCCCUGUUGCCCUUGCUCUGCGGCCAUGGGCGACGGCGGCUGCUGCGACCGGUCCGCGACGGUGGCGCCCGCUCUCCUCCUCGUCCUCCUCCUCCUCCUCGUCCUCCUCCUCCUCCCUAUCCCCUUCCCUCCUGAAGCUCUAGCGGGCGGACAGCAUGGGCAUGAGGCGGCAGCGUCCGCAGGGACCCUGCAUCGGCGUGGGUGGAGCCUGACGCCCCCCCCACCACGUGUUCUUCAUCGUCCACGCAGUCUCCUCAAUGCCUCCUCCCGCUUGGCAAGCAUGCACUCCUCAGUUUGGUGAAACCCUAGGUACCAUGCUGGAUGGGCCAAAUCAUAAACUCCGGCGUGAGUUCUCUCCCCUUCCUCCUUCCCCUUCUCUAUCCCAUUCCUCCUUCCCCUUCUCCAUCCCCUUCCUCCUGAACUGAUAUUUUUCCCUGUACAGUCAUGAUCAAUUGUUAUAUUCAUGUUAUGUACUGAGGCUUGGGGAUUGUGCAAUGAUGAUCCUUUUUAGACUCAAAAAAUUGAAAUGUUCAGUGAUGAUUACAUAAUUAUUUCAUCCUUCCAUGAAUGUUGCUAUUUCUGGUGCCUGACAAUAUUGUUAUAUUAGCUGCACAAUUUUAUCCAUUUGUUGGUCACCAUACAUCUAUGUCAAUGAUGUCUUUGCUUCAUGCAAUGUAUCAGUGGUUCUAUUACUGAGCACUACCCAUUGUCAAUGAUGUAUUUGCGGUUGGGCUUCCAAUGAAUAUAACUUUUCUAUCUGAAAUAUGAUUUUGCUCUUACCUAAUGUCAACUCUGUGAUGAUUGCUUAUUAUUUUUGGUGUAUCCUUUGCUGUUGGAUUUAUUUUGCAGUGAAUGGGAUUCUGCUGUCAUGACUGUAUCAUAAACCAUGUUUAAUGUCUGAUUUCCAGUGAUCGUGGGCUACCGUUACACAUUUUGCAUCUCUUUCUUUUUUCCUGCUAACUCAGGCAACGGUCAGGAUCUAUGACAAUUCUUCCUUUACAUGUACCUAUUAUGUUGAUGGCUGCGGCAAUGGUCAUGAGUAGUGUUAGCUCCAUUUUUUCUGUCUCUUUUUAGCUCCAUUGAUAACUGAGUUAAAAUUUUGCCGUCCUAAUAUUAUGGGGUUCAUGAAAAAUUUAGCUUUUCUAUGCUAACAGCUUGCCAAUAAUUUUAGUUGGGGAUUACCUUUAGUUUUACUACAUGUUUUGAUGAUCUAAUAACUUUUCCAACUAUUGUGUUUUUAUUUUGUAGCGAAAGUCCUAAUUUUAUUUGUCAAAUCUUUGGAGUAGUCUAUCCUUGAGAUUGAACUACAUGAAUGCACCCUUCUUGCAAGAUUCAACUGAAUUCGUUAGGUAAAUAGUUAAGUUAGACGUUAUUCGUUUGCAAAAAUUCUUAGAGAAAAAAUCUUGCAGGAGAUGAGACACUUCAGUUCUAAGGUAAAUGAUAGUGGUUUCAUGUUUCUAAAGUUGUCACAAAUGGGCAAUUUAUGUUUAACCAUUUAAAUAAAGUUGACUUCGAAGCAAACCGUUUUCUUGUUUUUGAACUGACCAGGUCAAUUGGGUGGGUAGCAUAAACAUAGUGCAUUGGAAUAGGAAAGUUUAUAGUUACAAGGCAUGACACAUAUUUUUGUUUUGUUUGGUUGUUUCAGGCUAUUUGGUAUUUUGGUUCAUCUACCAUUGUCAUCAGGAAACCAACAUUUACACGCUGCUCACAGACGCGUGAAUCAAUUACUGAAGACUAAUUCUAAGAUCAACGCCUAUGGACAGCUACAGCUUUGUGCCUGACAUUAUUGCACAUAUAGGUGUCAGAAAAAACUGUUGACAGCUCCUUGCAGGAUACUCAGUUCUUGAUACGGAGCAACGUCGGUGGCUCCUUGUAGCCGAUGACGAUGACGCAACCUCGUGACCACAAGGCAGCAAUGAAGACCUCAGACAGCGACAGCCAUGGCUGGAAAAAAUACCACAGCAACACACUCUACUGACCGUUCCUACCACUACAUCCAGCUGUGCAAAAAAGGCCAAUGAAGUUGUUGCUAAAGCUAUAUAAUAUCUGUGCCCAGUACUCUCAAAUGCAUUUGCAUAAUUACUGUAGUCCUCACUAAACGAUGCUACAUCUACUUGCUCCUGGGCAUGUAUUAUAUUUCAGCGCAGUGAACUGUGAUGGUUUACUACACCUAGCAAACCAAACUUUUUUUUAUAUGUAUGUACAUAAAUUCAAAACAUAUACUGCUAGACACCUACCAGUGUAUAAUAGCUGUCUAAUUACGGCUGAA